CAUAUCAUCUUUUAAUUCGGAACGAAAACAUUAUACAUUUUUCUAUUUUUCGCAUUAUUAAAGUGAUAAUAUAGACAACGCGUCUUUGGCUGAAGUGGGCGGGUGUGCUACUCAAUUUAUCAAAAAAAUCUGAAAAUAUAUCGUUCAGGAAUGAUAAUAGACCAAAAAAAUAAACCCGGGUACACAAUGAAUACGGUCGUUGACAUCAUUGACAAAGCGUCACAUUCAACCUUCUAUCCUAUCAUCAAGGAAGACCAACGAUACUACAGCUAUGCACGUAGUAAGGGACUGAUUAGAAUGGUUUUCAAACAAAACCCUUAAAAUAUGGUCCAAUAUAUUUGUAAAAUGAUUUUAUUUAUUUAAGAAUAAAUGGAUAUUUGAAAAUUGAUAAUUUUUGCAAAUAAAUACCAACUUUAAUAUAAA
rnacentral:lncRNA from 1 species